AUGAUCGACCAACAGAGUAAGUUUCGGCUGUGGUGUAAAGAUAUCUAUUUUCUAACUUUUUUCGCCUCGGCAAAAAAAUCUCCCUCCCAAGCCUAUUUUUUAUUCCCGGUUCUCCUGCUACGGUUGUCCAAGUCAACAAGCACUCGCGAGUUCUUCAGGUAACUCAAAGAGUUUUCAAAAAUCGGGGAACCGUGGUUUUGCUGGUUUUCUCAAAAUCGGGUCUGGGUCACCGAUACCUUUUCAGUUCAUUUCGGAGACAUAUUUUAUCUAUUUUGCCCGUGUGUCAUUCUCUACUGAGCUGUUUGGCAUUCCCCAUACUUCUUUAAAUAGCCAUAUGGCG
rnacentral:sRNA from 2 species